UAUACACGCACACACAUACACAUACAACAGGCCUUCAACAGUUUCCAGAUACCAAAUUCACUCAGAAGGCUGAUCGCUCGAGACUACGGCGGGGAAACACUUGCACAAGAUGCCGCGCAGUUGGGCCGAACCCCAAACCAUGCGACUCCGAUGCAAAGUUUUUGACCACACAGCCAUGCUUGUGUGUGUGUGUGUGUGUUUCUCUCUUUGUCUCCCUCUCUCUCUCUCUCUCACACACACAUUAUUUGAAUAUAGAGCAGAUAUGCCUAUGUAGUUUUGAAUUUCGCUUUUCAACUACGCGUGUCUGCGUUCGAACCCAGAACGACGCCCAUUAGGCGAGUGUCGUUUGGCGUAACUUCGGAUAAGUUGAAAUUUAAUGGACUGAACGAUGUAUAAAGCCGGUCGUCGUAUGCACAUCACUAAAAUGGAAUCUCAUGUAGACAAAAUUGAGCAUUUUCAACACCAUUUGCUUUUUGCAUUUAAUUGAGAUGUUAAGGUCGCCAAAGCUGCUUGUGAGAUUUGUGCUGUGUAUGGUGAAAGAGUAAUGCUUGAAAGUAUCUCCUGCUGUUGGUUUUGAUGCUUCAAAAAUGGGAAUUUUGACUUGAAGGAUGGAUCACACACUAGUCAACCAACUGAGUUCAAUGCAGAGCGAUUGAAUCAACUUCGUAAUGAAAAUCCUCAUCAAAUGACCAGAGAAUUGGUGGAGCAGAUGGACUGUGGUUACAAAAAAAAAAAAGAAACUGUGGGGAACCACCUUCACU